AUGGAUGCAGAUCCCGCGGUCAGCCCCAGCAUCUUCCCACUGAGCCUCCCUCAACCUAAUAGUAAUGGAAACGUGGUUGUUGGCGUCCUGAUCCGGGGCUACUUCCCUGUGGGCCCUCUGAGUGGUGGGGCCGGGCCACUGAGGCUCAGGGCGGGCUGCUGGGCUGGAUCUCACAGAACAGAGUGGGGCAGAAGGGCAGCCUGGACAGGGACGCAGGGGAGGAGCAUACUGACACACUCUUUCCUCUCUGUUUCUCCACAUCCGCCUCCAUUAGCCCAAUGUCCCUGCACCUGCCCCUCCUGCCAGCCCAGCAUCUUCCUGCAGAGGCCAAACAUCAAAGACCUGCUCCUCAAAUCAGAAGCCAACAUCACCUGCACCCUGAAAGGCCUGAAGGACCCUGCAGGGGCCGUCUUCACCUGGUCACCCGACAUGGUGAACACGCCUGUGCUGCUUAGUACCCAGGAGGACUCCUGCGGCUGCUACAGUGUGUCCAGCGUGCUGCCCGGCUGCGCAGAACUCUGGAACCAGGGGACACAGUUCACAUGCACUGUCAAACACCCUGAGAUAGAGGACGGCUCACUGACUGACACCAUCAGCAAAAACACAGGGAACAUCAUCCCACCCCAGGUGCACCUGCUGCCGCCGCCGUCGGAAGAACUAGCCCUGAACGAGCUGGUGACGCUGACCUGCCUGGUGCGCGGCUUCAGCCCCAAGGACGUGCUCAUCUACUGGCUGCACCAGGGACAGGUGCUGCCCGAUGACAACUUCCUGGUGUUUAAGCACCUGCCAGAACCCAACCAGACUUCCAGCACCUUCGCCGUGACCAGCCUGCUGCGCGUCUCGGCCAAGGAUUGGAACAACGGGGACAACUUCUCCUGCGUGGUGGGCCAUGAGGGCCUGCCCGACAACUUCACCGAGAAGACCAUCGACCGUCUGUCGGGUGAUCGGGAACCCAUCCCCUGGGUGGUGCUGGAUCUGCCACCAGACAGUCUGGAGGAGGCCCCCGGAGACAGCCUGUGGCCCACCACCAUCACCCUCCUCACCCUCUUCCUGCUGAGCCUGUUCUACAGCACUGCACUCACCAUGACCAGCAUCCGGGGCCCACCUGGCAGCAAAGAGGGACCCCAGUACUGAGGAACAAAUUGGGAU